UUACGACCAUAUUAUAUUGAAAUACCGAUCCUCAUACGAUCACCGAAGUUAAGCAACAUCGGGCCUGGUCAGUACAGAGAUGGGUGACCGUUUGGGAAUACCAAGUGCUGUAAG